CGUAGACACCGGUUUCCGUACGAUCACCGAAGUUAAGCAAUGUCGAGACCGGUCAGUACCUAGAUGGGUGAUCGUUUGGGAAUACCAGGUGCUGUAA